rnacentral:rRNA from 1 species
GCUAAGUCGGGAAUGGAUAAACGCUGAAAGCAUCUAAGCGUGAAGCCAACCUCAAGAUGAGAUUUCCCAUAGCAUAAGCUAGUAAGAUCCCUUGAAGAACACAAGGUUGAUAGGUCGGGGGUGUAAGCAUGGUAACAUGUUCAGCUGACCGAUACUAAUAGAUCGAGGGCUUGACCAAAUA